rnacentral:misc_RNA from 2 species
UAAUCUCACUCCGACGACCUUUUUUGGGGUUGUCUGGAGGUGGACUUGGACUCUGCUGUGUUACAACAGCUGGUCUGAAAUGCAUGAGUGCACCCUGCUACUGCAGCGUCUUCAGUGUGAUAAGUAUCCUCACUGAGCAAGUUCCCCUUGAGGGACACGCUUUGCCUGGCGGGCUCUGUGCUUCGAACCGUCUUGUGACAAUACCUUGACA